UCUCAUCUUCUUCAUCUCCUUUUUUUUUUUUUUUUUUUGAAGUCACACCAUUUUUGCUUCAUCUUGCUCUUCAAUUUUAUUUUCAACUUCUCUGUUACAGUUGAGAGGGUCAGAUAGGGAGGAAUGAUAGAGAGACUAGGAGCUACAGGAUGCCGAUCAAGUUCAAGAAGGGAAAAUAAGAAGCCAGAAUCAUACCGGCCGGAAAAUGAUUUGCGGCCGAAAUUGACCGGGACGUCCGGAACGGGGCGAAAUUUAAUCCGAGGUGGAUUGGAGGGUAUUACCAUUCCGGUUUACACACCGGGAUGAGAUAUUCCAGCUGUUCCGGCCGGAACGGAGCGGAAUCCAUAACAUUGAUUCCGUUAUAUCGGUAGAUCUGAGUAGAACAAAGGAGGAUGGUUAGAUUGGAGAGAGAGAAGGCCGAUCUAUGUAAUAUUUAGAUCAAAAGUAACAGGCAAAGUUGUGUGGUUUUGUUGGUCAGUCCUAUCGAUGCUUUGACGUCAAAGAUGGAGAAGGUAGAUCAUAGAGGGAGAAGGCCGAUCUGUGUAGUCUAUUCAGGCAUGGGAAAGUCAAAGACCACUUAUGAGGAAGCCUCCAAGAAAAGGCCGACAUCAGAAAAUAAAUUUAGGAAAAUGUUAACGAAUGUUCUUAGAACACUGGUUAAGAAUCCGGUUAAAGAGAGUUUUUA